UGCUACUUUAUAUAAGCAGGUGUUCUUAUGAAGUAGAGGUUGUUCAGGUUUAUCGAAAGCGCAAAACGAUCACCAUGUCGUUCUUUGGGAAGCAGUUCAAGAAAGUUAAAGCUGAAAAUACUUUGGAGGUCAUUGGAAAACUAAAUCUCUCCGCGCAGACCGUGGCUCUCCUGCGUAGCCAAGACACCGUUACCUCCUUCACUAAAAACGCCGACGGAACCCUCCAGUACGUGGUCAAAGACAGCACCGGUAAGGUGGUCCUGGACCAGAAGAUCGUCCUUUCAACCCUCUCCGACUAUAAUAGCCCUGAUGGCAUGGAAAUCAAAGUCAAGUUUGAGUUGGCAGGCGAUGUUUUGAAGUCGGAGAUGCACUUGCCUGAUGGGAAGGUCGUAAAUAUAGAUAGAUAUUUUGAAGCUAACAGCUUGAAAAUGGAAUUGUACCUCCAAGGUGCCGCCGAAAAAGCCACAGUGUAUUACGAGGUCGUCUGAAUAAUUUUCACAUCAUUAUUUUACUUUAAUUUAUUAAAUGAUAUUGUUUUACAUAACAUAAAAAAAAAUGUUUUAUUACUCUAUAACCUCAUACCAAUCUUGUGAGGUCGAUGCCGAAUUUAUUCUCCGAGUUGCAAAAAAAUGACCUACAUUUUUAUCGCCUACAAUCUACAUCGAUAUAGAUCUAACGUUCAUUGACAAACACCGCAAAGUAGUGUUUUGUUAAAAAAUAACCCAUAUUUGCUUUCCUUGACAACAAUCUAAGGAUUAGAAAAUAAUUACUCACAGUUCCAAAAUAAAUUCCAAGUACCGACACCGACCAAUAGGAAAAAUGAAAAGAACAGUCAUCGAUAGUUAUAAUCUUAUCAUGUGCGAUAUCUUCUUCUGAUAAUUCAUACACACCUUAAGUAAUAUUACAGUUCUCAUUGACCUUGUUUUAUAUCGAGAAUGUACUUAUUGCUAAAGCUAGUGCUUGGCAUACGUAGAGAGACGCACGUAUAUAUGUAUUCUACUCACAUUCCCCUGACUAUACCUAUUCGCAAAUUCCCAGGAGAUUCGGCUUAGCUGUUUUUUAUUGUAGAUGGAACUUUGUACGAAUUACACAGUCACCAAAAAUUAGAUGCUCAUAAAGCAGAUUGCUCAUAAAGCAGAUUGCUCAUCAGAAUGACAAACCUGUCCUGAUUUAGACACUGUCUGACGGAGAUUUGUAAGGAGGCACCUGAUUCCUGUCAUGGCAAUUUGGCGGAAUUGCUGCGAAACUGCUCUGGGGCGCUAGCCAAGAUGACAAACGUAAUCGUACAUCAUCCGUGCAGUUAAUUAAUGGCGCUUACGCGUUUUGGUUGCGAGAAUCACACUCUGCUUCCAGAGUUUGUAGCCGAAAACAACUCAUGGCACAAAAUACUGGUUAUCUGUGCUGGUUCCAUAUGUAGUAAUAAUAGUUCAAUGCAUAAUACAUACAUCGGGGUUUUUGGUGCGGCUAUGAUUUCGUGUAAGUAUUUAUAACUUAGUUUAUUGUAAAAUAAUUAGCAAACUAUGAAUUAAAAAUAAAUGAGCUCCUAAUAUGCUCCUGAUGGUAAGCAAUCUGUAUGUACGCCUGCAACUCCAGAGGAGUGACAUGCGCGUUGCCGGCCCUAACACCCCCCCGUUGAGCUCUGGCAACCCUAUACUCACCGGCAGGAACAUGACUUAUUUGGCUGCGGUUUUCUGUAAGGUACUUCCCCAGUUGGGCUCUGCUCUAUCUAGAUCUGGAAUGACAUUCGCGGUGCUGUGCCCUACCACACAAAGCGAGAUGACAUUCACAAUGCCCAUAUUUCUCUUUUUUUACCUAAAGUAAAACAUUCCUGGACCAAAAACCGUUACAUAUACGGAUAUAUCGUGACUUUCACCACGACGUGUGCCUUGAAUCUUAUGGUCAUGUCAUUAAAGGUUAGAUUUGAUUUGACUCGUAGACUUUGAUUUGGUGGUGGUGGUUAGUGGUUGUUUUGGUGGUGGUUGACUGGUAGAGAAUGCCUCAAGGCAUUAAAUCCGCCUAUGUACGUUUUACUUGUGUUUGUGCAAUACAUUUUAAAAUAAAUAAAUAAAUCUGCGCGUCCUCCGGAUUGCAAGUAGCACGCUCUUACCGCUAGGCCACCAGCGCCUAUUCAUAAGUAUAACAUCACUAAAAUGAAAAGUAACAAUUACUGAUAUUGUCUUCGAUUACCGCCAUAGUUAGUCAUGAAAUAAUAAACUAUUCUUACGGAUUAGUAACAAUAUAUUAUAUUGCGUAUAAUGAGUUUAUAACACAUAUAUAUCGUGUGUAUGUGUAUCAUGUCGUUGUAUAUCGUGUAUUGUAUAUUUUUUUAUAUAUCGUUGGGAUAUCUAAUUAAAUAAUUUGCAAGAAAGCGAAGCAUUAUUAGAUUUAAUUGGUAUUAUUGAGAGUUGAGACACUUCUUUAGACAUUCAUUGCAAAUUGCCACUUAUCUACAGAUAAAUACUUCUGUACUUAUCGUUAAAUGAAUCUAAUAUGGUAGCAAAGAUAUAUUGAUUAUUUUGAAGUAGUAUAUAUAGGCCACAUAAAAAAUUGUGAAACAUUGAACUGAUUGCGGGCAGUUGAAGUGUACGAAAAUGGCGUUCUACGGGAAAAACUACAAGAAAACCAAGUUUGAAAAUAUUGAUGAGCUCUUGGAGGCACAUAACGCCCCCGACAAAGUCCGUGGCUUAAUCAAGAGCACCGACAGUAUCUCCCGUUUCGAGAAAAACGCCGACGGCUCCGUUCAGUACAUCGUCUCCAAAGAUGGCCAGGAACACUUCAACCAGAAGAUGACUCCAGGCGUAGAGGUCGACUUCACGACUCCCGAUGGCAUCAAGACUAAAGUCAGCUGUCAGAUCAACGAUGAUAGUGUGCAGACUGUUAUGACUUUCCCUGAUGGCGGUAAACUUCAUAUGGACAGGGUGUUUGAAGGCAAUACCAUGAAGCAUAUCAUUUAUAAAGAAGGUACCGACCUAAAAGGUACUAUCUUCUACGAGCAGGUUUGAAGAGUUUAAAGCAAAUUUAUUACAAAUAACAUCCCCCGCAGUUACAUAUUCCCAUGAGACGCGAGGCGAAUGACACGGCAAACAGCUAAAGAAAAUGUUUACACUCCAUCUAAGCUUACUUAAACCAACUGGAAAGGAACAAAGUGAGACAGUGCCAUUGUAAACGUUAUAUUUUCAUAGAACCAUGGGCAACUUUGUUUGGAGCCUGGUCCAAAAACCAACAGAAAUGAGAGUUAGGUCAUUACAUAGGUAUUUCUAUGUCUUUCAUUUCGUUCUAUGGGCACCAAGAUUUCCCUAGGUAAUAAGGGUGACAACAUUUUGACUAAAAUACCAAUAUCUCAGUUCUGCAAUGGAGUUCCGCUUGGUGCCCAAGAACGAAAUGAAGAACAUAGAAAUACAUUUCUAAUGACCUAACUCCAGCCUAACUCUCAUUUCUGUUGGUUUUUGGAUCAUUUUAACGCAUAGCCGAUGUUACAUUAAUUUAUAGUGGGCAGCAGAGUAGGUUACGUUUCAGUAACAAUAAAGUGCUUGAACUAAC